rnacentral:rRNA from 1 species
CUCGUAGGCGGCCAACUAAGUCAUACGUGAAAUCCCUCAGCUUAACUGGGGAACUGCGUGUGAUACUGGAUGGCUUGGAUUUGGGAGAGGGAUGCGGAAUUCCAGGUGUAGCGGUGAAAUGCGUAGAUAUCUGGAGGAACACCGGUGGCGAAGGCGGCAUCCUGGACCAAUAUUGACGCUGAGGAGCGAAAGCCAGGGGAGCGAAACG